rnacentral:rRNA from 1 species
CCUACGGGAGGCAGCAGUAGGGAAUCUUCCGCAAUGGACGAAAGUCUGACGGAGCAACGCCGCGUGAGUGAUGAAGGUUUUCGGAUCGUAAAACUCUGUUGUUAGGGAAGAACAAGUACCGUUCGAACAGGGCGGUACCUUGACGGUACCUAACCAGAG